rnacentral:lncRNA from 1 species
UUCCUUCUCAGUAGCACAAUAGCUGAAAAAUGUAACUUUCUUAAUAACUGUGCAUCAAUACCGCAAAUACACACUUACUGUGAUAGAUUCCAAACUUAGUACAAAUUCCCCUCUCCAGUUCAUCUUGAAAUUAAGAGUUUAGAAGAAAGUAAGAUUUCCGUUUGUGCUAUACCAAUCAGGAUACAUUUACUGUCGAAAACUAUAUAUAUAGAUGAUCAUGCGGCCAGAGCUAGCGCUCAGCAACAAUAGUCCAGUUCUCUUUUGUCCGCCACUUUCUCAAACUGAAGAUGAAUUGCUCGUUCCUAUCUCUAUGCCGUUACACAUGAGCAGACGACAUUUAGCACGGAAGGCUGAAAUUUCUAGGCAUCAAUCUUGUGAACAGAUGAGUUAUGAAGCAAAAGAUACAUACUGCAGAGUAAAACUACAUGAGAAAUGAUUAGUGGAAAACAAUAUAAUUUGUUUAUUGUAAGAACUGAAAACACCGGAGAACCAAUAUACUUCUUAUAGUAAUAAUUCAUAUCCAAAAAGUAAUCGAUUAUGGGAGCAUCUAACGCUGAUUUAAGCAGACAUUUCAUAAAAACAUGUCAAAGAAUUAUCAAUUAUAUCCAACUAAUUACUAAAACGGGAUUUACUGUCAGUAUACAUCUAUAUUCAGUUAGAAAUUAUGGAGAUCCAAGGAGAAUUAUCUAGGUUGUAUGACAUGAGUGCAUAAAUCUUACAAAGGCUAAUUAAUCAUCAGAUACCUUAACAUCUCAAAAAGCUUAAUCCUUAGAAUAUUUCCAUAUCUAGAAUGAAAAUAAUCACAUCAUGUAAUUACUAAAACAGGUACAAAAUACAGUCAAGUCGAUUUUUCAUUUUUACAGAAUAAUUGGUGAGCAUGACAUUGAGCUAUUGUAUCACUAAAAUGUAGCAGCCAAUGGGACCAGCAGAAACCUAUACAUCUAGAAGAAAAUAGUAUCCAAAAUUGUACCAUUGAAGGGAAAUGAUACUCAGACCAAGAUAAAGUCUGCUUCACGGCCACACUCACACAUUCAGUUACAAUCAGCUUAGUCGGCCUGUGAGAGGAGCCUGUGUGUACAUAUUGGACACUACCUGGAUACAUAUAGUUUGUUGUGAUGGAAGUCUCGGGCUCGUAAUGUGGAGAAGGGAACUGAUACUCAGACCAAGAUAAAGUCUGCUUCACGGCCACACACACACAUUCAGUUACAAUCAGCUUAGUCGGCCUGUGAGAGGAGCCUGUGUGUACAUAUUGGACACUACCUGGAUACAUAUAGUUUGUUGUGAUGGAAGUCUCGGGCUCGUAAUGUGGAUAUGGAUGACUCAAGCAGAGCGACAACAUGUGUACACAUAGAAAAUCAUAUAGUGGUUACUUAUCAAACUCAGUUAUUGUCUCAACUGGAAACAUGCAAGCGGAAUUCCGAGAAGAGAUAAUGUCGCAAUCAUCCAAAUGUGCGAUUAAAAAAGUGGUAUGAAAUUGAAGGAUUUCUAUUAACUUGCAAAAUCAGAAUAGUAUUGUCAAAGUGCAACAUUAUUUCAAUUUACUAAAAACUCAAAAAUGCUUGACCGUUAAGAACUUCUUUGGAAGUCAAGUUAAAAGUCCAGGUGGAUUAAUAUUCUUAGGAUAACUGGCCAAGUAUAUGUGCUAUAUUGAGUCUUCAAUUUAGGUUCUGUAUAUAUAGAUUCCUAGCCAAAAAUUACAGCCUAUACUAAUACUCAUCCAAAUGUGCGAUUAAAAAAGUGGUAUGAAACUGAAGGAUUUCUAUUAACUUGCAAAAUCAGAAUAGUAUUGUCAAAGUGCAACAUUAUUUCAAUUUACUAAAAACUCAAAAAUGCUUGAUCGUUAAGAACUUCUUUGGAAGUCAAGUUAAAAGUCCAGGUGGAUUAAUAUUCUUAGGAUAACUGGCCAAGUAUAUGUGCUAUAUUGAGUUUUCAGUUUAGGUUCUGUAUAUAUAGAUUCCUAGCCAAAAAUUACAGCCUAUACUAAUACUGUAAUACAUGACUGGAUAUCAAGAUCACCAGGAUAAAUAGUUUCCUUAUAGAAUCACGUAUGGUUGUGCAGCUAAUUAAACAUCUAGAUAAAUAUAAAGGAUAUACCUUCUUUUCAUCUGACAAUCUCCCGUAAUCAACCACACUUGUAAUAUCUUGGAAGGAGUUUGUGCCUGUAAUUGGGAGGGUCUUGUGAAAUGUUUAAUCUAGUUAUCCUUGCCUUCCUCUGUAGAUAACCAGGUGCAGUACUGAUCAAACAAAAAAAAUAUUCACAAGAAAUGAAAAGAGGGUUCAACAUUGCAAACAAAAAAUAGACCUGACAGAAAAUCAAAAGCUUAUAGACACAAACACAAAUAGUUGGUACCCAGAUCUUCAGAUCGGAAAUGACUUAGAUUUAUUUUUUCCUUAGAUUGCAAGGAUCAGAUCAUUAGAUUAGUUAGUACUGCUCACAAAAGGGUCCAAGUGCAAGUACUCACACGCCAAUGGAAGGCAGACCACGUGCACGAUGACACACGACCUGCUCUAUUUUCUUCAUGCUUUUUGCUUCAUUCCCAUACAAUGCCUGAAACCAGCAAGCACCAGGAUGGGGAUUAGAACUCUGAAUUUACACGCAGAUUAAGGAGAAACACACACACAAAGCUUCGAUACAAAGUUCAGUUAGGGUCCUCUCCGAGGAAAAGGUAUCCCCUC